rnacentral:rRNA from 1 species
UGGGCGCAAGCCUGAUGCAGCCAUGCCGCGUGUGUGAAGAAGGCCUUCGGGUUGUAAAGCACUUUCAGUCGAAAGGAAGGUGGUAGUGUUAAUAGCACUAUCAUUGGUGUUCCCCCAAAGGAGACGCCCCG